UGCCUAACAGUGCCAUCAUGUCCAUCAAUGUGGGGGAGGUGGAGCUUCGGAAGAAAAACUGAAGAGACAGUGUUUUUUUGUUUGCUGGUGUCGCUGCACAGUAUGCAAUCUUCUAACCUUCUCCUGAGUGCUAGGGAGCUGCUUGGAGGAGCCUAUAGACAUUUACUGUUGGGACAAGUACAUGAGAACGUAAACAUUACACUUGACGGAAUGGUAAAACACUGGUUCUGCUGUGGAACGACAGCGUCGCCAGCUGGCCGUUCAAACCCAUCUGCGCACACUGCGAUCAAAUGCAGCAUUAGAAGGUGUGCAGCAUUCAGAUUCAGGAGGUAAUGGGGAGGAAUCCUCUCUGGAUUGAUGUGUGGAAGAGAGCUGCCCAGGUGAGUCAGUUCCCCUCACAGACAUCUCCAUACGAAUACACUAAGAGUUAGAGAGAAAUAGACGAUAAAUGAGAAAUUGGUACAGACCAAAGCUCAAAACACAUGCAAGCCAGCAUUGUUACAUCAUGUACUACAUACGUGGGGAUUGAGGGCGGUGAGGAAGAAGUGUAUGUGUGUAUAGAUAGUGGGUGAGUAAGGAAGGAGGUGUGUGUAAGUGUCUGCAGGUAAAUGUGAGUGUUGGAUGAGUGAAUAUUGAGGGGUUGAGGGAAAGAGUGUCUGUGUAGAAGUGAACAAGUGACAGAGUAAGUCUGUGUAGGAGUGAGUGAGGCAAAGAAUGAGUGUUGAGUAAUAGAUGGAAAGUGAGUCUGUAGAAAUGAGCGAGGGAAAGAGUGAGUGUGUUGAGUGUCUGUGUAGGAAGGCAUGAGUGAAAAAUCUUUCUGUGGAAAGGAGCGAGGAAUGAAGGAGUGAGUGUAGAGUCUCUGUCUAAGAAGUAAGGAGUGUGUGUGUGUGAGUGAGAGGAAGUAAGGAUUGAGUGAGUCUGUCUUAAGGAGGAAGAGGUGUGUGCGCGUGGGAAGGAAGAAAGGAGUGUCUGUGUAAGAGUUGUCAGCUUACCU